UAACUUUCAACAACGGAUCUCUUGGCUCUUGCAUCGAUGAAGAACGCAGCGAAAUGCGAUAGGUAAUGUGAAUUGCAGAAUUCUGUGAAUCAUCAAAUCUUUGAACGCAAAUUGCACUCUCUGGUAUUCCGGGGAGUAUGCUUGCUUGAGGGUUAGUUU
rnacentral:rRNA from 1 species